AGAUGAUGGUCUGUCAACAUACGGAGGGUGUAGUGGAGUUAAACUACCACCAGCCAGGAGCGAGAAAGAUACACCUACCACAAAACACUCAAGUAAGUCUAGAGAAAUGUCGACCUCUGAGACUCACGAUGACCUCUCUAACAUCCUAACAAGUCAACACACCUGGCCUUGGAGAAACACAGAAAUCAGUCUUGUUGACCAGGACACUCAGGUUUCUGAGGCGAGUGGGAAACUCAAAGUUAUUCAUUUUGGUUUAGUGUAAAUAUUUUAAAAUACAUUUGUAAUAAUAGUCAUUAAUUGUAAUAAAAAAAAAGUUCUUUCCAAGAAUAUCUGA